UCACAUGAUCACAACUGAGCCAAUGUUGUCUCUCUUUCUCUCUCUCUCUCGCUGCAGGAGUGUGGGCGAUUGUCUCCUAUGCUCGGAUGCUCCAUCUCAGGCCGUGGCAUUUGGCAGAAAUCAGUGAUUUUUCAGAACGUUGGAAGGUACCCACAGCGGCACUAGUAUAUUUCUUGUCACUUCAAAGCGCCUACGGCCAGUCCUUUGCUUUUCCAUCCAAGAGUGAGCUCAGGAAUGCUUUGCUUCAUUCCAGGUCAGGCUGCCUGCAGAUACAGACCCUUUCCUCGGCUGCCUCAUUGCCAGUUACAUUAACUACAGUCUGUGACAACAGUUUAUUAAUACUGUACUGUGGUCAAUAUCUAUGCGAGCGUAUACGGUGACCCCAUGCAGAAAAGUAUUCCAUGGAGCCUACAGACAGCAGUGACUCCGUUAGUGAUAGUGGAAGUCGUCCUACACAUUAACCCUCCUCUCCCAUGUCUCCCUCACACCAGUCAUGAAGGUUUUCAGAGCGGUCAAUGGCUGAACCCAGGAUCAAGGAGUACACUCCGCCUCUCGAUGGCAAAGGGUGCGGAUACGAGGAAUGACAUAGCAUCGUGGUCGUUGACGCCAUGCGUCACACUUGCCGAGAGAUGCUGCUUUCCCUCUUUCAUCGGGCGCCAGAAUCUCCCACCAGGAACGGUGUCACCCUUAGUGUUGGGAUGGGAGGAAUUUAAGUGAGAGCCCCUAGGUGUACUCAGAACGGUUGCUCUCCUCCAAGAAUGUGGUCAAACUGGAGUCUGUCUUCUUCCCCAAGACAACCUCGGGGAAUACUAAUGAGGUCGUAUCAAGUUUCUUUGUUUCGUUAACAGAUCUCCAGCCAUUUCAGCACGGUUUGGGCCUAAAAUAUAGAAAUCUGCUCUCAUGAUGACUGUCCAGUUAAUGACUUUUUGUCAUAACAGCUUUUAGAAUUUAUUUAUUUAUUAUUUAUUUUUAUUUAUGUUUAUUUUUACUUA